rnacentral:rRNA from 2 species
GAGAUUCCCCCAGUAGCGGCGAGCGAACGGGGAGCAGCCCGGAGUCUGAAUCAGCUUGUGUGUUAGUGGAAGCGUCUGGAAAGUCGCAGGGUACAGGGUGAUACUCCCGUACACUAAAGCACACAGGCUGUGAACUCGAAGAGUAGGGCGGGACACGUGGUAUCCUGUCUGAAUAUGGGGGGACCAUCCUCCAAGGCUAAAUACUCCUGACUGACCGAUAGUGAACCAGUACCGUGAGGGAAAGGCGA